rnacentral:rRNA from 1 species
UACGUAGGUGGCAAGCGUUGUCCGGAUUUAUUGGGCGUAAAGCGCGCGUAGGCGGACCUGCAAGUCAGAUGUGAAAUCUCGGGGCUCAACCUCGAAACUGCGUCUGAAACUACAGGUCUAGAAUCUUGGAGGGGGAAGGGGAAUUUCUCAUGUAGGGGUAAAAUCCGUAGAUAUGAGAAGGAACACCAGAGGCGAAGGCGCCUUCCUGGACAAGUAUUGACGCUGAGGCGCGAAAGCGUGGGGAUCAAACAGG